rnacentral:rRNA from 1 species
UUAAGCAUAUCAAUAAGCGGAGGAAAAAGAAACCAACAGGGAUUGCCUCAGUAACGGCGAGUGAAGCGGCAACAGCUCAAAUUUGAAAUCUGGCCCCAGGCCCGAGUUGUAAUUUGCAGAGGAUGCUUCGGGUGCGGCACCGUCCAAGUCCCCUGGAACGGGGCGCCACAGAGGGUGAGAGCCCCGUCGGGUCGGCCGCCAAGCCUAUGUGAAGCUCCUUCGACGAGUCGAGUAGUUUGGGAAUGCUGCUCUAAAUGGGAGGUAGACCCCUUCUAAAGCUAAAUAUUGGCCAGAGACCGAUAGCGCACAAGUAGAGUGAUCGAAAGAUGAAAAGCACUUUGAAAAGAGGGUUAAACAGUACGUGAAAUUGUUGAAAGGGAAGCGCUUGUGACCAGACGUGCGCCGGGUGUUCAGCGGGCGUUCUCGCCCGUCUAUUCGCCCUGGCGCAGGCCAGCGUCGGUUCGGGUGGGUGGACAAAGGUACCAGGAACGUGGCUCCCUCGGGAGUGUUAUAGCCUGGUGCGUCAUGCCCCCGUCCGGACCGAGGUUCGCGCUCUGCAAGGACGCUGGCGUAAUGGUCCCCAGCGGCCCGUCUUGAAACACGGACCAAGGAGUCGAGGUUUUGUGCGAGUGUCUGGGUGUCAAACCCGCACGCGUAAUGAAAGUGAACGCAGGUGGGAGCUUCGGCGCACCACCGACCGAUCCUGAAGUUUUCGGAUGGAUUUGAGUAAGAGCAUAGGGCCUCGGACCCGAAAGAUGGUGAACUAUACUUGGAUAGGGUGAAGCCAGAGGAAACUCUGGUGGAGGCUCGCAGCGGUUCUGACGUGCAAAUCGAUCGUCAAAUCUGAGUAUGGGGGCGAAAGACUAAUCGAACCAUCUAGUAGCUGGGUUACCGCCGAAGU